CGGGUGAGUAACGCGUGAGGAACCUGCCUCAAAGAGGGGGACAACAGUUGGAAACGACUGCUAAUACCGCAUAAGCCCACGGGUCGGCAUCGACCAGAGGGAAAAGGAGCAAUCCGCUUUGAGAUGGCCUCGCGUCCGAUUAGCUAGUUGGUGAGGCAAUGGCCCACCAAGGCAACGAUCGGUAGCCGGACUGAGAGGUUGAACGGCCACAUUGGGACUGAGACACGGCCCAG
rnacentral:rRNA from 1 species